UAAAGGCGGCGGGUCUUUGCCUUCCCCCCUUCGCUAAGUGGAUCCGUCCAGCUGAGAGAGUCGAGGAACCCACCUUCCUUCCGAGGCAGGGGGACGGAGGGAGGGCGCUUCCUUGCAGAGCCCACUACCUGCCCAAAGUUCAGCGCUUCGCAGGAACCAGCCCACAAACACCGGUGCCUCGGCAGACUACAACUCCCUGGUUCUAGAGCAGGCAUUGGCAGAAUUCGGGCCUUCCUCCAGGUGUGUUGAACUAAAACUCCCUAACAGCCUCAGGCUCAUUCCUUUCCCCUCUCAGCCGUCUGUCAAAAAAGCAAGCUGUUGGAAAGCAAAAUGGAAGGAAAAAGGAAGAGGGGCCAACCAAGGGCAAGAUGGAUGGAUGGUAUCCUUGAAGUUCUUUCUGGCCAUUACCACUGAAAAUCAGAUAGAUGUUGGUGUUGAAAGAAAAUCCUGAGAGUGCCUUGGACCGCAAGAUGAUCCAACCAGUCCAUCCACCAGGAAAUAAUACCCGACUGCUCACUGGAGGGAAGGAUAUUAAAGGCAAAGAUGAAGUACUUUGGCCACAUCAUGAGAAGACAGGAAAGCUUGGAGAAGAUCAUGAUGCUGGGGAAAAUGGAAGGAAAAAGGAAGAGGGGCUGGCCAAGGGCAAGAUGGAUGGACGGUAUCCUUGAAGUGACUGACUUGACUUUGAAGGAGCUGGGGUGGUGAUGGCCAACUGGGAGCUCUGACGUGGGCUGGUCCAUGAGGUCAUGAAGAGUCGGAAGCGACUGAACAAAUAAACAACAACAAAGGCAUUGAAAGUUGAGGGAAGCCUAUGCAUGUGCAUGGUUAUCACCACUAGAUAGUGGUAUUCCAGCUGGUAUUCUUAUUCCUUCCUUAAAUAAUUUAACAUUCCCAAAGCCCUGAGUCCAAAGCUUCGGACCCUACUUUCUGUCCAUGACCACUGAAAAUCAGAUGAGAUAGAUAGAAGUGAACUGUGGUGUUGGAGGAAAAUUCUGAGAGUGCCUUGGACCGUAAGAAGAUCCAACCAGUCCAUACACCAGGAAAUAAUGCCGGACUGCUCACUGGAAGCAAAGCUGAAGUACUUUGGCCACAUAAUAAGACAGGAAAGCUUGGAGAAGAGAAUGAUGCUGGGGGAAAUGGAAGGAAAAAGGAAGAGGGGCCGACCAAGGGCAAGAUGGAUGGAUGGUAUCCUUGAAGUGACUGGCUUGACCUUGAAGGAGCUGGGGGUGGCCACGGCGGACAGGGAGCUCUGGCGUUGGCUGGUCCAUGAGCUCACGAAGAGUCAGAACCAACUGAACAAAUAAACAACAACAAAUGCAUUGAAAGUUGAGGGAAGCUUAUGCAUGUGAAUGGUUAUCACUACUAGAUAUUGGUAUUCCAGCUAGUAUUCUUAUUCCUUCCUUAAAUAAUUGAACAUUCCUAAAGCCCAGAGUCCAAAGCUUCGGACCCUACUUUCUGUCCAUGACCACUGAAAAUCAGAUGAGAUAGAUAGAAGUGAACUGUGGUGUUGGAGGAAAAUUCUGAGAGUUCCUUGGACCGUAAGAAGAUCCAACCAGUCCAUACUCCAGAAAAUAAUGCCGGACUGCUCACUGGAGGCAAAGCUGAAGUACUUUGGCCACAUAAUAAGAAGACAGGAAAGCUUGGAGAAGAUAAUGAUGCUGGGGAAAAUGGAAUGAAAAAGGAAGAGGGGUCGACCAAGGGCAAGAUGGAUGGAAGGAGCUGGGGGUAGCCAUAGCCGACAGGGAUCUCUUGUGGGCUGGUCCAUGAGGUCAUGAAGAGUCGGAAGCGACUGACUGAAUGAAUAAACAACAACAACUGAUAAAAGAGAAGUUAGUCAAGAAGAAGUGGCUUUUUUGGAGUGUGAAAAUUGACCAGUCUUCAAGCAAGGGUUUUUUUUUGUUCAUUGUUCGCCGCAGAUGUCAGCCCUGGAGGUCAACUUUGAAUACUUGGCAUCAGUGGUGGAAAUUCCGCACUGUCUUUCUGAAACUAUUCAUUGUCAACUCCCAUAUAAGUCUCCUUUAUGCUAGGUAAUCUUGGUGCAAUAAGAUCGAAUUUUAGUACAAGGUAAUGCAUUACAUUGUUUGCAAUUUAUGUUAAAUUGAAUAAAUAAUCAUGCAACACUGUUCAAGAAAUAAUUCUAUGUCACAGCAGCAUUACUAUCUAUGGAAGAAGCAACCGUUGCUUUUCUGCAGCAAGAAUAUAUAGCUGAUGGCUCAUAAAAUGAAAUAAUCUUAUAACACCAUCUAUUCCAAUAGCGGAACAAUACCACAUGUAUUCAAAAAUUAGAAGAACUUUAUGAGGACUUUAACAGGGUUGUAUAUUUUAACAAGCUUUUUAUGGGGCGGGUGGCAGAGAUAAAGGGCCCUUCCAGACAUGCCCUAUAUCCCAGGAUCUGAUCCCAGAUUAUCUGGCAGUGGGAACUCAGAUAAUCCAGUUUAAAGCAGAAAACCUGGGAUCCAAUCCUGGGAUAUAGGGCAUGUCUGGAAGGGCCCGAAGAUAGAGGGCAAAAGAGUUUGAGCCUCAGUCACUACUAAAGGUUUUUGUGGAAAAAUGUUUUCAUAGAUAAUGUCAAAAACUAAUUAAUACAUUUUAAUUAGAAAGCAUGUUGUGAAAAAACUCACCCUAAUCAACUUACAGUUUUACAUUGGUUUGAUCAUUUGUUGGUUCAGUUUACCAAUGUGUAAAUCGUGUGGCAUAUCAUAGGAAUAUUUAAAGUUAAAGUCAACAUUGAAAGUGCAAUGACCCAGGACUGUUUAGGUUUGGGAGAAAAAAAUGAUUUUGACUUGUGAUUUAUGCUCUUUUACUCUUUUUUAUGAAAGGCCCAGUGAAGGCCUAGGUAAAUGUGCAAAAGAUUGCAACAUCAGUUUUUCUUUUAAAACUGGUUUUCCAAAGCCUGCUUGUAUAUGUUUGCUUCUUUGUUCCUUCAUAUCCUCAAUAUCUGCUAUACUUUGGUAAGAAAUUAGAAUUUCACAGAGACGCGCAAAUCACCAGUGCACUUUUCCAUCUGCAAAGAAACCAGUAAAAAGUUGACCCCAAUGACCCAUAUUUGGGGUGGUUAAGGAGAAGAAAGGGUGAAACAAUAUCCUUUUUUACUUCUCUGGCCAUGUCAUAGGCAUCUUUGGCAUUAUGUGGGAUGGAGGGAUUUUGCAAGAAGGAAAACAAAGAUUGAGCUGGCUGAGUUUAUUUCUCAGAGGCUAUUUACAAAAAGAGAGUCAAAACAGGUUACAUAAACUUAACAAUAGAACUUGGCUUCUUGGUUUCAAUUUAGACUUAGAUAGCCUUAGGAAGCCAAGGACAUUUCUGAAAGAAAAAGAGAGCAUGUUUUUAAUGGCCUUGACAUUUCCAUAACAGCAUUAUAAUGCUGUUAUCAGCAUCCAAGUCCAUGUAUAUUUUUUCAUUAAAGAUGGAUCUUAAAAGGCCCAUGUGCAAUGGAUUUAUCUAUCUUAUUUAUAUUCCUGUCUUCCUCUUGUGACCACAGGGGACUGUAUGGAAUUUAUUUACAGUAUCCAAGGGAGAGAAAUUUUAUGUACAUGCCAAACGCCAUGAGAAAUACUCACACAUUUUGAGGCAGUUAGUAUAUUAGUAUAUUUGAAUAUUGGUGUCCCAGUUCUGCAUUUUUGAGUCUAAUGGAUUUAUAUAGUAAGUAAUAACAUUAUUAAAAACUGAAAAAAGAUUGGAAACAACAGACAAACAAUAUAAAACUAUGGGAGUUUAGCAAUUAGGCAGCAGUACUUAGAAAAGUUACUGUUCACUACAAUCCCCACAGUGUGAUACCCACAAUCCAGUUUUCUAUUCCAACAAAAAAUAAUAUUCCCCAACUCAAAGUGAAACAGUAGCCCAAAAUUUUGUUGCUGAGUAGCCAUGUCCCCUUCACACAGAAAGGAUACCAAGUGUUUGCCAAAUAUAAACAAAUAAACAAUAACUCCCAAAGAUAGAGGGAGGGAAGCAGAGAGAAGGGGGGGGGGAGACUGAGGCCCCUUACACAAAGCUGUAUAAAAUCCACAUUUGUUGUUUAUUCAUUCAGUUGCUUCCAACUCUUCGUGACCUCAUGGACCAACCCACGCCAGAGCUCCCUGUCGACCAUCACCACCCCCAACUCCUUCAAGGUCAGGCCAGUCACUUCAAGCAUAACAUCUAUCCAUCUUGCCCUUGGACGGCCCCUUUCCCUUUGUCCUUCCAUUUUCCCCAGCAUCAGUCUCAUCUCCAAGCUUUCCUGUCUUCUCAUUAUGUGGCCAAUUAUUCACUCUGAUUUUAUCAGCUCAGAUUUUAAGUAUUAUUAGUAUGCUGUCUUGUUUUACUGUUGAAAUGUUUUAAUUUUGCUGUUACAUUUUGUGUAUGUAAUGUUUUGCUAUGUUGUUGUUCGGGCUUAUCCCUGUUGUAAGCUGCCCUGAGUCCUUUUGGGGAGAUGGGGCGGGAUAUAAGAAUAAAGUUUAUAAAGUUUAUUAUUCCCUCCA